rnacentral:rRNA from 1 species
ACUUAGGAAAGAUUCUUCGGAUGAUUUCCUAUUUGACUGAGCGGCGGACGGGUGAGUAACGCGUGGGUAACCUGCCUCAUACAGGGGGAUAACAGUUAGAAAUGACUGCUAAUACCGCAUAAGACCACAGCACCGCAUGGUGCAGGGGUAAAAACUCCGGUGGUAUGAGAUGGACCCGCGUCUGAUUAGUUAGUUGGUGGGGUAACGGCCUACCAAGGCGACGAUCAGUAGCCGACCUGAGAGGGUGACCGGCCACAUUGGGACUGAGACACGGCCCAAACUCC